GAUGAACGCUGGCGGCGUGCCUAAUACAUGCAAGUCGAGCGAACAGACGAGGAGCUUGCUCCUCUGACGUUAGCGGCGGACGGGUGAGUAACACGUGGAUAACCUACCUAUAAGACUGGGAUAACUUCGGGAAACCGGAGCUAAUACCGGAUAAUAUAUUGAACCGCAUGGUUCAAUAGUGAAAGACGGUUUUGCUGUCACUUAUAGAUGGAUCCGCGCCGCAUUAGCUAGUUGGUAAGGUAACGGCUUACCAAGGCAACGAUGCGUAGCCGACCUGAGAGGGUGAUCGGCCACACUGGAACUGAGACACGGUCCAGACUCCUACGGGAGGCAGCAGUAGGGAAUCUUCCGCAAUGGGCGAAAGCCUGACGGAGCAACGCCGCGUGAGUGAUGAAGGUCUUCGGAUCGUAAAACUCUGUUAUUAGUGAAGAACAAAUGUGUAAGUAACUAUGCACGGCUUGACGGUACCUAAUCAGAAAGCCACGGCUAACUACGUG
rnacentral:rRNA from 1 species